rnacentral:rRNA from 1 species
AACGAACGCUGGCGGCAUGCCUAACACAUGCAAGUCGAACGAAACCUUCGGUUCUAGUGCCGCAAGUCGACGUAACGCGUGGGAACCAGCCCUUAGGUUCGGAAUAACUCACCGAAAGGGAUGCUAAUACAGGAUAAUGUCUUCGGAGCAAAGAUUUCUCGACUUUGGGUGGGCGCGUGUGUGUUUAGGUAGUUGGUAGGGUAAAAGCCUACCCAGGCGACGGUCCAUAGCUGGUCGGAGAGGAGGAUCAGCUACAAUGGGGCUGCGACACGGCCCAGACCCGUACGGGAGGGAGGAGAAGAUAAUAUAGGAGGAGGGGGGAAAGCGUGACGCAGCAGUGCCGGGUGAGUGAUGAAGGCCGUAGGGUUCUAAAGCUCUUUGACCCGAGAUGAUAAUGACGGUACCGGGAGAAUAAGCACCGGCUAACUCCGUG